CGGAGAGAACGAUUUCACUCAAACCGCAUCCGACUCAUGCAGGGAGUUGAUAAACUACUGCCCAAGGAGCUCAAUAAACGACUGGGAAUUCAUCUUUUUCUCCAUUAACCUGAACUGCAGACAUUAUUAGUAUGAUUAUAUUGGGGGGAAAUCAGGCCCAAAUUCACAGGUUUUGUUCAGCCCUGGGUGCGAGGUUCCUGCGAUUGUGCAGCUAUCAGUCAUGGGGAAGUGCAGCAACCGCUCAGCUGAACCGCAGCCAAGGUACUGACGGUAAACAAACAGAAGCCUUUGACAUUCACUCAACGAGGUUCCACUCAAAUGACCCCAAACAGCUCCUAAAUGGCGGUGGACGACCCCUCCUUCUGACCUCUGGACAUGUGCAAUUCAUGAGUCCACAACAAUUUAUGCACAUAACAAAGUAGACUGAACGUGCUCGAGAACAAAAGCUGAAUUCUGUGGCUACGACAGUCGUCAUUUAUGAAGUCGUCAGUCAUAAAUGAAGUGACCUAGUUUUUGCAGACCUAAUUAAAGAAAAAGAAAAAAAACACAAGCUGAGGGUUUAAUAUAUUUUAAUACUUUAACUUCCUGAAAUGAGUCUUAUUAAAAGUUUCAGAAAGGAAAUGGCUGA